GACGAACGCUGGCGGCGUGCUUAACACAUGCAAGUCGAACGGAAAGGCCCUGCUUUUGUGGGGUGCUCGAGUGGCGAACGGGUGAGUAACACGUGAGUAACCUGCCCUUGACUUUGGGAUAACUUCAGGAAACUGGGGCUAAUACCGGAUAGGAGCUCCUGCUGCAUGGGGGGGGUUGGAAAGUUUCGGCGGUUGGGGAUGGACUCGCGGCUUAUCAGCUUGUUGGUGGGGUAGUGGCUGACCAAGGCUUUGACGGGUAGCCGGCCUGAGAGGGUGACCGGCCACAUUGGGACUGAGAUACGGCGCAGACUCCUACGGGAGGCAGUAGUGGGGAAUAUUGCACAAUGGGCGGAAGCCUGAUGCAGCAACGCCGCGUGCGUGAUGACGGCCUUCGGGUUGUAAACCGCUUUCGCCUGUGACGAAGCGUGAGUGACGGUAAUGGGUAAAGAAGCACCGGCUAACUACGUG
rnacentral:rRNA from 1 species